rnacentral:rRNA from 2 species
AUGAUCAGGUUGAUAGGUCUGAGGUGGAAGUGUGGCGACACAUGGAGCUGACAGAUACUAAUCGAUCGAGGACUUAACCAUA